rnacentral:lncRNA from 1 species
UCCUCUUUCACGUGCCUUUGACUGUAAGCUACUACAGUACUACCCAUAAAGAAAAACCAGAAAACAGUGACAAGAAACCUUGGGAGUAGCAAGCUACUACCCAUAAAGAAAAACCAGAAAACAGUGACAAGAAACCUCGGGAGCAGCAACAUAAUCAUCAAAAUCUUGUCAAAACUCAUUAACAUUCACCUGGCUAAUUUCCCUGUAAUACAUGCAUGCAAAAACAAUAAAAAAACAAAAAAAGAAUACCCCUACACUUAAAAAUUCUGAAUGCAUAUUGGAUGUAUUUAUACACGCAUUCUUGUGUUCUCACGUUAGAUAUUUUAAAACUAUUGGCAGAGAGAAGCAUCCUUAAUAUCUUCGUCGAAUCUUCUGAUUGUCUUCUGGUUCCCACAUGUACUCCUGGGACUUAAGUGGAGGAUCCCAAAUGCAAGCGAUAUUCGUAUGGGAGAAAUUGUUACCUAUGUAUACAAGUAUCCUUGUCACCACAUCCAUCAAUGCAUAAAUCUCUGGCCUGAAUUCCAUGAACAAGACCUACAUUUCAACACCACAAUCAUAAGGAUUUAAAAUCUCUCUUGUUAAGGGAUAAACUCCC